AAAAAUAAGUUUUAGUAACUAUAAUUUAGAUUUCCCCUCUUUUCUUUGUUACAUUGGGUAUGUUAUUCAUUCCUUCAUUUCCAAUUUUUUUUUCUAGCCCCAAUUCUAUCUAGUUUAUUUUUAUUUAAUUAUUGUUUGUGAGGCGCUCGUUUCUUCUAGGGCUCGGCCCCACGUCCAAGGGGGGUAGGUAUCUGGGCGAAUGGGUAGGUCUUCUCGGCUAAAAUAUUGGAUCCGGUGGGUACUUCACAAAAUCCAGGUUAAAAUUGAACUCUUACACUAAACAGCAUCUAGUGGUUGAAAAUCCAACUGCUUGAAAAAUGUAAUCAUCCUUAAUUGCUAUGUGAUUACUGAAAUGAGGGGUUUACACUUUAGUUCCAUUCCUGCAUUUUGUAUUCUUCAACCAAAAACUAACGAUAUGUUAUUGUCAAUUGUGUUAUUCCAUUGUUAUGUAUGUAUUUGAUUGCAAACAUUUCAUACUGAUUAUUUUCUCUUCAUAUAACAGUUUACCUUGUCAUCAUCUAAGCAUGUUAGUAACCAGAUAAUUUUGGGCAAACUAUGUCUGCAACUCAUCAUCAUGCUAGUGCCCAGUGAGAGGAUUCACAUUUUGCUUACCACUGGGUACUAGGCAUCAGACUUUUAUUGCUACCAAUGUCAUGAACCUUAAGGCAGCUUGAUGCUGAUACUGUAGUUUACCAUUGUUUUUCAUCUUGUGAGCGCAGCAUAUUCAUAUAUGCUGGGAAACAUCCACUUUUCCAUCAUCGAAUAGUCAAACACUACAUGACCAAAAAUCAUCAAAUAUCUACCAAUCCAUCAAUUUUUCAGAAGACUUCUUUGCACUGUUACCACAGACUACGAAGUAAAGACCGCUAUCCCCUAUCUCACCGUGUAGGCGAUGCUUGGUCUUACCGCUAGGGGCGCGGGAGUAUACUUUCUGAAAUUUUUAUACUUUUUCUAAUGUUAGUACUGAAUACGUGCUUCACACACACGUAUUGGCGGGAAUUGUAUUUAACUUUACGUUAUCAACCUUACACCUAAAUUUUCUAGAUCCCCUUCCUGUAUCCCGUGAAUUAUUUCAAAAUUUUAUUCUAAUUCUUUGGUAUGGUAAUAAAAUUAUACAUUUACCCCCUCUUUUCCCUAUUUUUCACAUGUAUGCACGAUGGGAACACAUCUGAAAAAUAGGGAAAAGAGAAACCCUUCCCACUUUUUCAUUUUUGGCCAAAUUUCAAAUUAGGCUUAAAAUACAUGAUUUAGAUUCAAAAUUGAA